rnacentral:rRNA from 1 species
GGGAGUAGCUUGCUACUCUGCCGGCGAGCGGCGGACGGGUGAGUAAAGUCUGGGGAUCUGGCUUAUGGAGGGGGGUAACCAUUGGAAACGGUGGCUAAUACCGCAUGAUGUCGCAAGACCAAAGUGGGGGACUUUAGGGCCUCACGCCAUAAGAUGAACCCAGAUGAGAUUAGCUAGUAGGUGCGGUAAUGGCGUACCUAGGCGACGAUCUCUAGCUGGUCUGAGAGGAUGACCAGCCACACUGGAACUGAGAAACGGUCCAGACUCCUACGGGAGGCAGCAGUGGGGAAUAUUGCACAAUGGGCGGAAGCCUGAUGCAGCCAUGCCGCGUGUGUGAAGAAGGCCUUAGGGUUGUAAAGCACUUUCAGCGGGGAGGAAGGCGGUAAGAGUAAUAUGCUUAUCGAUUGACGUUACCCGCAAAAGAAGCACCGGCUAACUCCGUGCCAGCAGCCGCGGUAAUACGGAGGGUGCGAGCGUUAAUCGGAAUAACUGGGCGUAAAGGGCAUGUAGGCGGUAAGUUAAGUCAGAUGUGAAAUCCCCGAGCUUAACUUGGGAACGGCAUUUGAGACUGGCGGGCUAGAGUUUUGUAGAGGGGGGUAGAAUUCCAGGUGUAGCGGUGAAAUGCGUAGAGAUCUGGAGGAAUACCGGUGGCGAAGGCGGCCCCCUGGACAAGGACUGACGCUGAGGUGCGAAAGCGUGGGUAGCAAACAGGAUUAGAUACCCUGGUAGUCCACGCUGUAAACGAUGUCGAUUUGGAGGUUGUGGCCUAGUGUUAUGGCGUCCGAAGCUAACGCGAUAAAUCGACCGCCUGGGGAGUACNGCCGCANNGUUAAAACUCAAAUGAAUUGACGGGGGCCCGCACAAGCGGUGGAGCAUGUGGUUUAAUUCGAUGCAACGCGANGAANCUUACCUACUCUUGACAUCCACGGAAUUGAGCAGANAUGCUUNAGUGCCUUCGGGANCCGUGAGACAGGUGCUGCAUGGNUGUCGUCAGCUCGU